UCUUCCAAGUCAACAAAAGCUGCUGCCAUCGCUUCUUCUUCCUACCAACAAAUUUCCGUGAGCACUCGGCUUCCCUCUCCUCCUGAUCGCCCCGAUGCUUGGCUUUCUUGAAGUGCCCCAAUCGGCGCCGGUUUGCACGGGCUUCCCCGAGCCCGCCGACGGCGCUAGGCGAGGAGCAGCGCCCUCCUCCCACCUAACGCCGUGCCCUCCUCCCUCCCAGCGCGGCGCCCUCCUCUUCCCUUCCCAAGCUCCGGUCGCCCUCCGGCCAUGUCCCCAGCGGCGGCCUCGAGGACGCCUGGACGCGGCCCCGGAGCUCCCUCCCGGCCAGAUCCGCGCGGGUUCAGGCAGCGGGGAGCAGCGAAGGUAGGCGGCCUCGGCGCGCAGGAGCAGCGAUGCCGAGCGAUGGGCAGCGGCACCGCGGCGCGAUAACGGCGACAGGGCAGCGGUGGAGAUGGGAGGCGCUCCUCGCCUACGCCGUGCGCCGUAUCUCCGGGCGCCGCUCGCGCCGCGGCCGCCGUGCCGCGAUCGAUUGCCCCGCCCCGCCCCGCCCCGCCUCACACCAACAGCCGCGUCGUGGCGGCAGUAAGUUCACCAUGAUUUCUCAUCCAUCCGUCUCUCAUAUCUUCUUCUUCCAUUCGCUCUUUCUCGUGUGCGCGCUGAAUCGGCAUCCACGCAUCGGCGCAUCGCUAACAGCGAUCUUCAUUUCAGCACUGAUUGGGAGCUAUUUAGUGCACGGGCUUGUCUCCUAUCAAUCCCCCGUUGAGCGCUGAUUGAGACCGAUUCAGUACACUACAUGUGGUGAAUCUCUUGUUACCCGAUUCGAUUUCUUCUGCCAAAAGGAUUUCCAGUGACAGAGUUUCGCUAGGCAAUGCUUUAGAUCCUGUCAUCCACCAAGGUUCCGAUUGCUGAAACUAUCUCAUUUUAGUUGGCUUCCAGCUCUCCAUAAAGGUACCUUAUUCUAAUUGGUUAUUACCUGCUAUUUCAUUGUUGCCUUGCUGACCUAAUUAGCUAUGAAGGGAGCUAAAAAACUAUUCUUGACUCUAUAUAUUUUCCUAUACGCGAUGCUAGCUAUUAUUGGUAUAGCACAUUAAUAUUCUUCUUGGCAUAUGUGUGUUUUUCCCCCUUUUUUCAGUAACUGUUUUAGAUUGUUGCCUACACGUAAAUGAUAGUUGAGAUUUGGCCUGUUGCAUUUGGAUUCCAACAUUUUAAAUCAUUUGCAACUUGGCUUCAUGAGUUGUACUAGCAGUGAAAUGCGGAGUUGGGUAAUAUUAUGCCGAUAUUUGUUUUAUUUCUUCCACUAACAGAGAUGCAUGGAGCACUAUGCUGAGUUCUUUUCGCAAGUUGUUGCUGUUCAAAAGUAUGGAAUAAUCCCUUAUGAAUGAUUUGAUGAUUUUAUUUGUUUAGAUGAGUACCUUUUCAUAAUCUAGAUAUGCAUGAUUACAGUAAGCUUACAAUCUGAAAUGUUUCUUCCUUGGCAAACUACCUUUGUUCAGAUUGUUUAGAUGAACCAAUGGAGCAUGCUUAUAUAUUAGAAUAAUUGAUAACUCGCCAGCAUUAGGGGCUACUUUUCUUUUGUUUUGCUCUACCUGAACAAUUUUUCUCAUCUUAACAGUUGCAAAGCAUCUUAGAGAAAUAUCAGAUCUAGUGACAUCGCUCUUUACUGCUUGAAAUUCUUUCACCCAAGACUCCGAGAGAUGCUGAUCAUGUUUGCGAAUCCAAAUUUGGUGCUAGAUGUAGACCUGGUUUUGUUUUGUUGCUUCUUACUGCCUGAUAUUCAUUCACCUGAAAGAUGCUGAUCAGGUUUGCCUAUAGAAUUUUUGUGCUAAUUGCUGACCUAAUUUGAUUUGAUUGCCUGAUAAAAGUUAAUAUACUUGGAUCAAUAUACUUUGCAUUCAAACUGUUCUGAUUGCCUCCAGUACUGUCUACCAUAUAAAUCUUUGAUUACUGAAGUUGGGGAUGAUAGGAUUGUAUUAUGUGGUCUAGAAUUAUAGCUACCACAGCUGGAGUUAGUCACACCUCGGCAUCAUUAAUUUUUUUGGAGCCCUGCAGAGUAAUCCUUAAUCUUUGCCUAUGAACGAUCAUCUUUGCAAGCUGUUCUAUUCUUGUAAUGUGUUUACAAUUUUAGUUUAGCAGAUUGCAGUCAUUACGGGCUGGUUGUCUGUGUAUUGUAUACCAAAUUAUUAUAUUAUUUGUUUUUCUAGGUAAGCCUCCCUUUUUUUCCCUUUGCAUAAAUGGUUCAUUAUAGAGAUCUAAAGUUGAGUACUUGGUUAAUCACAUGAACUCCCUGUGUUAGUACUCUAUAUGAUUCAAUUUCAUUUUCAGAAUGUUGGUAUGGUGCAUGCUUAACGAACAAAAUGUUUUGUUACCAUGGCAACAAGCAUUUGUCCUUUGUGCCAAACAAGCAAAGAAAGUUUCAUAUUGUCCUUAUUGAAUUGUGUUGUUUCGGUUGAUAUUAAUCUUUUGGUCGAUUUAUGAGUACUGGAAAUAAUUUUUUCAUCUUUGUAGGUGAAAAUAAUCAACCGUGGUGUUUGCCCGGUGCAUGGAGUUAUAUAGCCCCUAAAAUACAAUGUCGUGGGCUCUUAGACACAACUUGAGAUAUAAUUUCUAAAUUUGAAUGUAACUAUCAAACAUUGUGCACCUCUCUUCUUUUAUUAACAAGGGAUCAGGCAGUGACUCCUUUGUAUCAAAGCCAUUUUGCCCGUUUGUAUUUUUUUUCCUGAGAAGAAUUCAUGUGUAUAAUGACUCCUUAGCUUUGGUGUGCGCUUGGGAGUUCUAUUGUACGCACAUUACAACCCUAAGCAUAUUUAGGCUACAUCUGCUAUCUGGGUUGUUUCCACGAACUGAGGUCCGUUACAAUCUUAUUAGGUUACACCUGAAAAAAAUUAGAAAUUUCUAAAACUUUAACUUCGACCUUUCUUUUUCUAUUUCCUCAUCAGAUCUUAUAAAAUAUACAUACUACUUUUAAUUUCUCCCUGUACUUCAAAAUAUCUUCUACUAUACCAUAUCAUGAUAAUUACCACUAAGAUUAUAAAUGAAUUAUGCGCGUGCAAUCCACUAGUGGCUGGAACAUGCAAGAGCGCCUAGCAGUGUGCCGCUGCCGCUGCCGCUGCCAACACACGUCCAGUACAAUUGGUGCGUGCAGCGGAGCGAGAGCGCGACGACAUGGCCAAGCUCUGCCUCUUGGUGUGCGCCGUCUCGCUUCUCCUCGUUCUGGUCCCGUCGCCGGGGCCCGUUCUGGCGUCGCCGUCUCCCCCCGCCCGGCGCCGCUACGGCUCCAUCUCGGCGACUCGUACGCGGACACCGGCAACGGCCCCGUCGCCUUCGGCUGGCACUCCGCCAACCCCGUCAUGCGACCGCCCUACGGUUCCACCGUCUUUGGCUGCCCCACCGGCCGCAACUGCGACGGCCGCCUCCCCGUCGACUUCCUCGGUGCUUCCCUUGCUGGCGGCUCCGAUGAUUUGCCCAAUGACUUGGACUAUCUGAUCGCUCCCUGCUUGCUUGCACUCGCAGGCUCGCAGCUUAGAGCCUGGGCCUGCCACUCGUCCCGCCGUUCCUGGCGCGCAGCGGGGCCGCCAGCUUCCGCCGCGGCGGCGGCGAUACCACCCUCGACGCCGGCUUCUUCCACCGCUGGAACCCCCCGGGCGGCAGCGUGUUCCUUACAGAAGGCGAGGCACGAGGCAGCCAUGCUGAGCUAGCUGGACGAGCGCAAGGUGUUCGAUAAAAUGCCUCGUCGUGAGGGCGCGCUCUGGGGCCAAGUCGUUGACUUGAUAACAAACUCAGCCGGCGUCAACAAGGCAACAGGAUGACGUGUUGUGCAUCUUGAGCAUAAGUGACUCUUGGUAAUUCUGGACCUGAGGAUCCUGCAAAAAGUUUUCCCCAGAAACAUGGGAGUUUUUCAAAUACGGCCCAAUAGGCCACAGGGCCCAAGUCUCUGAUUGUAAGUGCACGGCCCAACCCAUGUCGCAUCGAAUCUAGUGGGGUUAGCCUUGCUAAUGGGGCGGGUCGAAAUGGGCAUUUCGGGUCGGGUAUUUGGAUGGGGCUUGUUUGAGUGGGUGGAAAUGGGUUGUAGGGAUUUGCAGGUCGGAGCGGGUUGGAUACAGUGGAACUGCGGGUUGGGGCGGGUCGGUUUGACUCCUUCCGUCCUCCGCUUGGGAAAUAGCCGCACGGGACUCGCGAGUCGCG